rnacentral:rRNA from 1 species
CCUACGGGAGGCAGCAGUGAGGAAUAUUGGUCAAUGGCCGGGAGGCUGAACCAGCCAAGUCGCGUGAGGGAAGACGGCCCUACGGGUUGUAAACCUCUUUUGUCAGGGAGCAAGGUGCAGGUCGGGACCUGCUGUGAGAGUACCUGAUGAAAAAGCAUCGGCUAACUCCGUGCCAGCAGCCGCGGUAAUACGGAGGAUGCGAGCGUUAUCCGGAUUUAUUGGGUUUAAAGGGUGCGCAGGCGGAGGCACAAGUCAGCGGUAAAAUCGGGGGGCUCAACCCCGCUCCGCCGUUGAAACUGUGGCCCUUGAGUGCGCGAAGGGUAGGCGGAAUGCGUGGUGUAGCGGUGAAAUGCAUAGAUAUCACGCAGAACUCCGAUCGCGAAGGCAGCCUACCGGCGCGCAACUGACGCUCAUGCACGAAAGCGUGGGUAUCGAACAGGAUUAGAUACCCGGGUAGUC